AACGAACGCUGGCGGCAUGCCUAACACAUGCAAGUCGAACGAGACCUUCGGGUCUAGUGGCGCACGGGUGCGUAACGCGUGGGAAUCUGCCCUGGGGUGCGGAAUAACUCGGAGAAAUCCGUGCUAAUACCGCAUAAUGUCUUCGGACCAAAGAUUUAUCGCCCUGGGAUGAGCCCGCGUAGGAUUAGCUAGUUGGUGGGUAAAGGCCUACCAAGGCGACGAUCCGUUAGCUGGUCUGAGAGGAUGAUCAACCACACUGGGACUGAGACACGGCCCAGACUCCUACGGGAGGCAGCAGUGGGGAAUAUUGGACAAUGGGCGAAAGCCUGAUCCAGCAAUGCCGCGUGAGUGAUGAAGGCCCUAGGGUUGUAAAGCUCUUUUACCCGGGAUGAUAAUGACAGUACCGGGAGAAUAAGCUCCGGCUAACUCCGUGCCAGCAGCCGCGGU
rnacentral:rRNA from 1 species